rnacentral:rRNA from 1 species
UAAGACGAACCGUGCGAACGUUGUUCGGAAUCACUGGGCUUAAAGGGCGCGUAGGCGGGCGGUCCAGUCAGGGGUGAAAUCCUCCAGCUCAACUGGAGAACAGCCCCUGAUACUGACCACCUCGAGGGGUGUAGGGGCAUGCGGAACUAAUGGUGGAGCGGUGAAAUGCGUAGAUAUCAUUAGGAACGCCGGUGGCGAAAGCGGCGUGCUGGACACCUUCUGACGCUGAGGCGCGAAAGCCAGGGGAGCAAACGGGAUUAGAUACCCCGGUAGUCCUGGCCCUAAACGAUGGGUACUAGAUUGUGGACCAGACAUGGGUUCACAGUCGAAGCAAAAGUGAUAAGUACCCCGCCUGGGGAGUAUGGUCGCAAGGCUG